AUUGACCGCUGGCGGCAGGCCUAACACAUGCAAGUCGAGCGGAGCGGCGGACGGGUGAGUAAUGCCUAGGAAUCUGCCUGGUAGUGGGGGAUAACGUCCGCAAACGGGCGCUAAUAUAGCAUACUAUAAGUUGAGACUAGGUCGGAUUAUCUAGUUGGUGGGGUAAGGGUCUACCAUGGCGACGAUCCGUAACUGGUGUGAGAGGAUGAUCAGUCACACUGGAACUGAGACACGGUCCAUACUCCGACGGGAGGCAGCAAGGGGGAAUAUUGGACAAUGGGCGAAAGCCUGAUCCAGCCAUGCCGCGUGUGUGAAGAAGGUCUUCGGAUUGUAAAGCACUUUAAGUUGGGAGGCGUUACCAACAGAAUAAGCACCGGCUAACUUCGUGCCAGCAGCCGCGGUAAUUC
rnacentral:rRNA from 1 species